rnacentral:rRNA from 1 species
AUACGUAGGUGGCAAGCGUUGCCCGGAAUUCUUGGGCGUAAAGCGAGCGCAGGUGGUUCCUUAAGUCUGAUGUGAAAGCGCCCGGAUCAACCGGGGAGGGUCGUUGGUAACUGGGGAACUUGAGGGCAGAAGAUGAUAGUGGAACUCCACGGGACGCGGUACACUGGGUAGAGAUUUGGAGAAACACCAGUGGCGAAGGCAGUGGUCUGGUCUGUACCUGACACGGAGGCGCGAAUGCGUGGGGAGCAAACAUGAUUAGAUACCCUGGUAGUCCACGCCGUAAACGAUGAGUGCUAAGUGGUGGGGGGUUUCCGCCCCUCAGUGCUGCAGCUAACGCAUUAAGCACUCCGCCUGGGGAGUACGGUCGCAAGACUGAAACUCAAAUGAAUUGGCGGGG